rnacentral:rRNA from 1 species
GACGAACGCUGGCGGCGUGCUUAACACAUGCAAGUCGAGCGGAAAGGCCUCUUCGGGGGUACUCGAGCGGCGAACGGGUGAGUAACACGUGAGUAAUCUGCCCUUCACUCUGGGAUAGCCACCGGAAACGGUGAUUAAUACCGGAUACGACACGUCCAGGCAUCUGGUGCGUGUGGAAACUUUUUGGGUGGGGGAUGUGCUCGCGGCCUAUCAGCUUGUUGGUGGGGUAAUGGCCUACCAAGGCUUCGACGGGUAGCCGGCCUGAGAGGGUGACCGGCCACACUGGGACUGAGACACGGCCCAGACUCCUACGGGAGGCAGCAGUGGGGAAUAUUGGACAUUGGGCGGAAGCCUGAUCCAGCAACGCCGCGUGAGGGAUGACGGCCUUCGGGUUGUAAACCUCUUUCAGCACCGACGAAGCGAUCCUUUGGGGGAGUGACGGUAGGUGCAGAAGAAGGACCGGCCAACUACGUGCCAGCAGCCGCCGCGGUAA